CCUACGGGGGGCAGCAGUGGGGAAUAUUGCACAAUGGGGGAAACCCUGAUGCAGCGACGCCGCGUGAGUGAAGAAGUAAUUCGUUAUGUAAAGCUCUAUCAGCAGGGAAGAAAAUGACGGUACCUGAGUAAGAAGCCCCGGCUAACUACGUGCCAGCAGCCGCGGUAAUACGUAGGGGGCAAGCGUUAUCCGGAUUUACUGGGUGGAAAGGGAGCGUAGACGGCAGUGCAAGUCUGGAGUGAAAGGCGGGGGCUCAACCCCCGGACUGCUCUGGAAACUGUACGGCUGGAGUGCAGGAGAGGUAAGUGGAAUUCCAGGUGUAGCGGUGAAAUGCGUAGAUAUUAGGAGGAACACCAGUGGCGAAGGCGGCUUACUGGACUGUAACUGACGUUGAGGCUCGAAAGCGUGGGGAGCAAACAGGAUUAGAUACCCUAGUAGUC
rnacentral:rRNA from 1 species